rnacentral:rRNA from 1 species
AUUGAACGCUGGCGGCAUGCCUUACACAUGCAAGUCGAACGGCAGCACGGGAGUAAUCCUGGUGGCGAGUGGCGAACGGGUGAGUAAAGUAUCGGAACGUGCCCAGUCGUGGGGGAUAACGUAGCGAAAGUUACGCUAACACCGCAUACGAUCUAUGGAUGAAAGAGGGGGAUCGCAAGACCUCGCGCGAUUGGAGCGGCCGAUAUCAGAUUAGGUAGUUGGUGGGGUAAAGGCUCACCAAGCCGACGAUCUGUAGCUGGUCUGAGAGGACGACCAGCCACACUGGGACGGGGACACGGCCCAGACUCCUACGGGAGGCAGCAGUGGGGAAUUUUGGACAAUGGGCGCAAGCCUGAUCCAGCCAUGCCGCGUGCAGGAUGAAGGCCUUCGGGUUGUAAACUGCUUUUGUACGGAACGAAAAGGUUUUACUUAAUACGUUGGACUCAUGACGGUACCGUAAGAAUAAGCACCGGCUAACUACGUGCCAGCCGCCGCCGUAA